GUAUGAGUUAGUGGCGGACGGGUGAGUAACGCGUGGAAAACCUGCCGUAUACUGGGGGAUAACACUUAGAAAUAGGUGCUAAUACCGCAUAAGCGCACAGCUUCGCAUGAAGCAGUGUGAAAAACUGAGGUGGUAUACGAUGGUUCCGCGUCUGAUUAGCUAGUUGGUGGGGUAAAAGCCUACCAAGGCAACGAUCAGUAGCCGGCCUGAGAGGGUGAACGGCCACAUUGGGACUGAGACACGGCCCAAACUCCUACGGGAGGCAGCAGUGGGGAAUAUUGCACAAUGGGGGAAACCCUGAUGCAGCGACGCCGCGUGAGUGAAGAAGUAUUUCGGUAUGUAAAGCUCUAUCAGCAGGGAAGAAAUACUGACCAUAGGGUCAGCAGACGGUACUUGACUAAGAAGCCCCGGCUAACUACGUGCCAGCAGCCGCGGUAAUACGUAGGGGGCAAGCGUUAUCCGGAUUUACUGGGUGUAAAGGGAGCGUAGACGGCAGCGCAAGUCUGAAGUGAAAUGCCAGGGCUUAACCCUGGAACUGCUUUGGAAACUGUGCAGCUAGAGUGCAGGAGAGGUAAGUGGAAUUUCUAGUGUAGCGGUGAAAUGCGUAGAUAUUAGGAGGAACACCAGUGGCGAAGGCGGCUUACUGGACUGUAACUGACGUUGAGGCUCGAAAGCGUGGGGAGCAAACAGGAUUAGAUACCCUGGUAGUCCACGCUGUAAACGAUGAUUACUAGGUGUUGGGGGACCAAGGUUCUUCGGUGCCGUCGCAAACGCAAUAAGUAAUCCACCUGGGGAGUACGUUCGCAAGAAUGAAACUCAAAGGAAUUGACGGGGACCCGCACAAGCGGUGGAGCAUGUGGUUUAAUUCGAAAGCACGCGAAGAACCUUACCUGGUCU
rnacentral:rRNA from 1 species